GACGUAGGGCGCGAGCGUUGUCCGGAUUUAUUGGGCGUAAAGAGCUCGUAGGCGGCUUGUUGCGUCGACCGUGAAAACCCGGGGCUCAACUUCGGGCUUGCGGUCGAUACGGGCGGGCUAGAGUUCGGUAGGGGAGACUGGAAUUCCUGGUGUAGCGGUGAAAUGCGCAGAUAUCAGGAGGAACACCGAUGGCGAAGGCAGGUCUCUGGGCCACUACUGACGCUGAGAAGCGAAAGCAUGGGGAGCGAACAGG
rnacentral:rRNA from 1 species